rnacentral:rRNA from 1 species
UACAGAGGGUGCGAGCGUUGUUCGGAAUUAUUGGGCGGAAAGCGCGUGUAGGCGGGAUGGCAAGUCGGGUGUGAAAGCCCUCAGCUCAACUGAGGAAGUGCGCCCGAAACUACUGUUCUUGAGUGUCGGAGAGGGUGGCGGAAUUCCCGGUGUAGAGGUGAAAUUCGUAGAUAUCGGGAGGAACACCAGAGGCGAAGGCGGCCACCUGGACGAACACUGACGCUGAGACGCGAAAGCGUGGGGAGCAAACAGG